UCAAAGUAUAGGGCUAAUUAUGGUCAAAUGUACAAGAAAUUAAAAUUCAAGGAUUAUUUUGUAAAUGAAACUAAAAAACAGAGUUCCAAUUAUAAUUUACCAAGGGGCUUGAUUACAGAAGUUUCUACACUUCAAGGACCAACAUGAAAAUGUCCAUUAACAUUUUCCUGUUCAUCUCCUCCAUCCCGAUUCAACAGAAACGGCAUAGAACGUGGCCACGUCUUUCGCCCAUGAUGUGCCAUUAAUAGAUGCUAUCCCAGCAGCUGCACGAUCGUUCUAGAAGGUGCAAGGGCUUUCUCUUGCCUAUAAAUAUCGAGCACAGCAGCAGAUGAACAAGGAGGGGGGAAACAGCGGAGACACAGAGAACAAAAGCAAAAAUAAAAAACCCAGGAGCAGAGGGAAUAAAAGGAAGAAAACAGAGAGCUAAACCUAGCUUUGGUUUAGUCCCAUAAUUCAAGCCUAAUAUACAAAUAAAAAAAAUGGAGUAAAGACGAAGAAAAACAGGGGAUUGCAGAGUAUUUAGAGAGAGACCAGAGAAAAAAAAAAGGGGAACAGAGGGAAAAAAUAGAAAAGGGAACAAACCGGAGGAAACAGAGGUUGAAACCCAAAAAAAAGUAUACAGAAAAGAACCAGCAUUUCAUCAUCGUCUUCGUUCCUUCAUCUCAAUAACCGGGGCGACGAACAAAGUUAGAAGCGAAGGAAGAAACUGAAAACAGAAAGACAGGGGAAACAAAAGGAAAACACAAGCAGAAGACACAGAGGCCAGCAUCAACAUCACCAUCGUCAUUAUCGCCUCCAGCAACGCCUGCAGAUCAGAGCCUGUUCGUUUGGAAAUUGGAACUGAACAUAUCAAUGAAGGCACUUGACAUGAUGCGCUGAUCCUAGGAAAUCACAGUGCCGAUUCCACUCAAGAAACUUGUACAACGAUGAUAAUUUAGUAACGGUUUUUGCUACAAAUCUGAAAAUCGGAUCUCCAAGUUCCUUCAUUUGAGCUCUCUUUGCUCAGUCGUGCUGCAAUGAAUGCUUUGUUUAGGUUGAUAAGAUAUCGAGGUGACAUAAAACCUCUGUCCAUGGUCGUGAAGUUUUGGCAAGAAUAGGCAUGGUGAUGAAAUUCUUGUUAUUGCCAACAUCGCCCAGGUAUUCGUCCUUCUUUAUCCUUUUAAAUUUGAGAUGCUUCUCUACGCAUUUUCCAUUGUGCUUAUUGUUUAGAUCCAAACACAGUCUUUGUAGAAUGAAAUGAUACCUCUUCCAAGGUUGGCCCCAGGUGUGCCCUGUCUCUCCACUGAGUCUCAUAUUUGAACACUUGCAAAGAGAUUAUUAUGAAGGGUAUCCACUUUCAGCUAAAUUUUUUAUAAUGGGUGGCAGUAGUCAGUCACUCUCUCAACUAGACAGAAAAGACAGCAGAAAAAUCUUUAGUUUGAUCAUUUGACAGAGCAUAAAAGGUGGGAAACAAUCUUGGUCCACCAUGCUGAUUCUAAACCCUACAAUAAAUCCUUCGUCAAAGCACUUUUCAUAAUAAAAGGUUAAUUGGCUUUGCUAUGAGCAUGAUUAAGAAAGUAGGGGCUUAGCACCUAGUCAUAGCCUCACCAAAUGUUGUGAUGAAAUCAGCGUGGUGGUAAUUCUAUUUAGAGGGGAGGAACAAUGUUUCAAAAUUUUAUCAAUCUGUUGAGGAUCUGUCUAAUCAAAACUGUGACCUUAGUGUAUGGCUUCAUUUAAAUGGUGCCCACCAUGAUGGUUUCAUCUGAAUGAAGGGGUGAAAAGAGAGUUGAUGCUAAUAGCCUCUUUGAUUUUGAAUGACCUUUCAUGUUUAGUAUAUGAUGCAAGCAUUUAUAUUAGAGGUAAUCAUGAUUUGCUACCAGCUCUUCAAUUUUUCAAACAUUCUUGUCUCAGAUAUGUGUGACCAUUAUUAGUGAGUUUCAUCCAAAUCCACAAAUAUUCCUUCCCCAUUGACACCACAACAUCUGAGUUGCUUGUUAUAGCAGCAAGUUCCAUUUAUGACUGGCAUCCAUUACUGAUCUCCAAAAAAGGAAAAAAAAAAACUAUGGAAUUAUCUUGGAGUCAUGAUUAGUAGAGUGUCAUUUCUACCCAAAGCCAUCCUGGGUUUGAGAUCUUGGGCCCUGUGACAUCUAUCAUAAAUUGGCCA